GGGCGGGUUUGAAACACACAUGAAGGCUUUAAAAUAAAUUCAAUAAAUAUUAUUGAUGAGUGAAUAUUUGUACAGGUACAGGUAUAAUGUUCAUGAUUUCAAAAUCUACAAAAAAA